UCUAGAAACAUCGUCUCUUUCAUCUCUUUUCACAAAGAAAUGCUCCUCCAUUUUUUUGCUCGAAUCUCUUCAUAUUCUUAAUUAAGUGGCAAUUAAUGACGAGAUUCAUGCCUUUUUGGUUGUAGUUUCAGAAUGACAGGGGUUUAUUGGAUUGGUUUCUCCUUAACACUUUGACAGCUCUUUAAUUGCAUCUAAAUUAUCAAAGGAUUACUUAUUGUUACGAGCGGGGGUUUUUAUCCCCUUCUUGAUUCUUGCCGCUUUAUAUCAGGGUUCCAUCAGGACCUGGUCAUUCCAGUAAUGAAUUUUCAUAAUGAAGACAAGGAUUUUAUGUGUUUGGCUGGGGAUGUUUUUGAUGUGCCAAUUAGGAAGGAUAUUAUUCAUCGUGUUGUAAGAUAAGAUGGCAACUAGCAAAACGACAACAGAUAACCCAUUUAACUAAAACAAUUAGUGAAGUUACUGGGGCUGGUAGAAAACCGUGGUGGCAGAAGGGAACUGGGCGAGCAAGGCCUGGAACACUGCAUGGUUCAAAAUUACCUUGGUGAAACUUGUUCACGGAUCUAAUUGAAGCAAAUAUUAUCACUAUGUUUCUUCUUGACUCUUGAGCUUGAAAGCUUCGUGAAGAUCUUGUCAGUUUGCAAUACAUACAUGUUGAGUCAAAGGUGCAGGCAUAAGUUGUAAUUAUGCAUGGUUAAAAUGUUAGUAUUUGGUUUCCUACCCACAAGCUGCAUCAACAGAAAGAUAAAGGAGUUAGUUUCAGUAGGUAUAGACGUAUAAGGGAAAAAAGGGGACUCUGAAAGUUCAUAGAGUGAAACAUAUUGCAUUGGCUUGCCAUCGUGGGAUUUUUAUGUCUAAUUUUGUCUGUUCUUUUGGCAUACGG